rfam:Sweet potato chlorotic stunt virus RNA2
CGGUUUUCCUAAAUCGUCGUGAGACGGACCUUGGAAAACCUAGUAUUUAAAUAACUAGGUC